GUGUAAGUCCCAGCCGGGGCUCUGCCCAGACUCCAGCACCUCGGGCUCAUAGGCCCCAGCCAAAGGCCCAUCUGGAAAAGGGCUGCACAGAAGCUGCACAAGCAACAGCCAGAGGUCCAUCCAGGUACCACUGGAAAAUGAAGAAUAAAAUGUCCAGCUCCGUAGCCUGCUGACUUGCAGAAACGAGAAGGCUGCAACCAGAC
rnacentral:lncRNA from 1 species